GGACGAUAAUGACGGUACUUUAGGAGGAAGCUCCGGCUAACUACGUGCCAGCAGCCGCGGUAAUACGUAGGGAGCGAGCGUUGUCCGGAAUUACUGGGUGUAAAGGGAGCGUAGGCGGGACUGCAAGUCAGAUGUGAAAUGCCGGGGCUUAACCCCGGAGCUGCAUUUGAAACUGUGGUUCUUGAGUGAAGUAGAGGCAAGCGGAAUUCCUGGUGUAGCGGUGAAAUGCGUAGAUAUCAGGAGGAACACCGGUGGCGAAGGCGGCUUGCUGGGCUUUUACUGACGCUGAGGCUCGAAAGUGUGGGUAGCAAACAGGAUUAGAUACCCUGGUAGUCCACGCUGUAAACGAUGAUUACUAGGUGUGGGGGGACUGACCCCUUCCGUGCCGCAGUUAACACAAUAAGUAAUCCACCUGGGGAGUACGGCCGCAAGGUUGAAACUCAAAGGAAUUGACGGGGGCCCGCACAAGCAGUGGAGUAUGUGGUUUAAUUCGAAGCAACGCGAAGAACCUUACCAGGUCUUGACAUCGUAUGCAUAGUAUAGAGAUAUGGGAAAUUCCUUCGGGAACAUAUAGACAGGUGGUGCAUGGUUGUCGUCAGCUCGUGUCGUGAGAUGUUGGGUUAAGUCCCGCAACGAGCGCAACCCUUACCUUUAGUUGCUACGCAAGAGCACUCUAAAGGGACUGCCGUUGACAAAACGGAGGAAGGUGGGGAUGACGUCAAAUCAUCAUGCCCCUUAUGACCUGGGCUACACACGUACUACAAUGGCAAUCAACAAAGAGAAGCGAGACAGUGAUGUGGAGCGAAUCUCAAAAAAUUGUCCCAGUUCGCAUUGC
rnacentral:rRNA from 1 species